CGAUCCCUGGAGUGUGCGUGAUUGAUUUGCCAUCGCUGACCUCACAAGAAAAAAGCAGGGAACCUGUACGGCGGACCGGUGUGCAUACCCGGCCCCGCGCCGGGGAGCCUGAAGGCCCGCCCGAGGUUCCCACCCUGACAUAGUCAGGUCCUGCUUUGGCACGUCACACGGCGCUCCGGGGCUCGC
rfam:Desulfovibrio vulgaris str. 'Miyazaki F', complete genome.